rnacentral:tRNA from 1 species
GGAGAGAUGACCGAGUGGCCGAAGGUGCCUGAUUCGAAAUCAGGUGUGCUCGCAAGGGCACCGUGGGUUCGAAUCCCACUCUCUCCG